rnacentral:siRNA from 1 species
UAGUCUCGAUGGUGCAGUCUCC